AUUUAGUAACUCAAGGUUGAUGUUUGUGUAAUAACUAAGGGACACAAGGAAUACCUGAGGAACCACUUGUCGCCCACACCUCGUACUUAUGUCAGUGCGAAAGACUAUACAUUCUCCAAGAAAACUGAGGUUCUCUUAACGAAGAUCAUUCCAUUGACCGAGAAGGUGGAAGUGAUAGAAGCAGGCGAUGCAAUGGAAGAGUGAAAUCGCUCCACUCCACUGGGAGGGAGCAUGGGAAUGUUCCAUGUAUUCAGUUUUCAGUGUAAAACCUCAGCGACUUGAUCCCAACUUGUUAUGGGUUUGCUUAUUCCAUUUGGAUUUGACAUUUUUAUACAGACUUUGCGCUAACUAUUUUGUUUGUUGGGAAUUCAUUAAGAAUUAUUAGAGCAUCUUACAGACUUUUAAGCUGGUUGAUUAUAUUACAGAUAUUGUAUG